rnacentral:rRNA from 1 species
UACGGAGGGGGGCUAGCGUUGUUCGGAAUUACUGGGCGUAAAGCGCACGUAGGCGGCUUUGCAAGUUAGAGGUGAAAGCCCGGGGCUCAACUCCGGAAUUGCCUUUAAAACUGCAUCGCUAGAAUUGUGGAGAGGUAAGUGGAAUUCCGAGUGUAGAGGUGAAAUUCGUAGAUAUUCGGAAGAGCACCAGUGGCGAAGGCGACUUACUGGACACAUAUUGACGCUGAGGUGCGAAAGCGUGGGGAGCAAACAGG